rnacentral:rRNA from 1 species
GACGAACGCUGGCGGCGUGCUUAACACAUGCAAGUCGAACGGAAAGGCCCUGCUUUUGUGGGGUGCUCGAGUGGCGAACGGGUGAGUAACACGUGAGUAACCUGCCCUUGACUUUGGGAUAACUUCAGGAAACUGGGGCUAAUACCGGAUAGGAGCUCCUGCUGCAUGGUGGGGGUUGGAAAGUUUCGGCGGUUGGGGAUGGACUCGCGGCUUAUCAGCUUGUUGGUGGGGUAGUGGCUUACCAAGGCUUUGACGGGUAGCCGGCCUGAGAGGGUGACCGGCCACAUUGGGACUGAGAUACGGCCCAGACUGCUACGGGAGGCAGCAGUGGGGAAUAUUGCACAAUGGGCGGAAGCCUGAUGCAGCAACGCCGGGUGCGGGAUGACGGCCUUCGGGUUGUAAAACGCUUUCGCCUGUGACGAAGCGUGAGUGACGGUAAUGGGUAAAGAAGCACCGGCUAACUACGUG